CCAUCUCUCAACUGACUUCACCGUCAUGGCUCCUUCGACACAGCCAACGACGUCCACGACGUCGCCUGGUCUGAAUCUCACGACUCCGGCCCUCCUCAUCGCCUCCGUUAAUUUCUGUCGAUAAUGUUCUUUCCUUCUUCAUCUUCAUUCUGAACGUAAAGCCAUCGUGCAGCCUCAAUCAGAUUGGAUUGUGGAAUUUUAGUGACAUACUACAUGGAAACUUUCGAAGGAUGAGCGGAUUUUGAAGAAACUUAGCAAGAAAGAUAUUUUGCAAUAUAGAGCUCAUAUAAUCAAGACAUUUGCGAAACAUAAACACAAUUGGAUUUUUGCAAGAUAUUUUGCAAUGUAAACUAUUACACAUGUCACUGGCCAGGUCACUUCUUAGGAUGCAAGUCACUGGCCAAUUGUAAACUUCAAAUUACUAAAUCAAUUAGCUUUUUGUAUC